UCGACGAGGUACGAGAUCGACGAGCUGGAAUAGUUAAAAGAGUGAAUGACGUGUGGAGCUUACGUUUGGAUAUAAGGAAUAGCGAUCGUUGUGUAUAGAGUCGGAUCAGACAGACCGUCUUUGGUGUGCUGGGUACAAGACCCCUUGGUGCUGCAGUAGUAUACGUGUGACGAGUCUUAGCCUAGUAUAGUUAGGUCUUAUAGGUUGUGUACGUGUUUAAUGUUUGUUUGAUGUGACAUCUUUUGGUUGUCAGUUUUUGUAUUGAUCGAUAGAUGGGCUAGUACGUACCAGUUACGGAAGUGAAAUGCCCACUAUGAUUGUAUCGAUGAUGUGUUUAUAUAUGAUGUUAUGUUA